GGCCUCGUGGCCUAGAAGUAAGGCAUUGGUUUCCGGUGAAGUUAUGACUUGGUCGAGUGUACCAAAGAUCGCGGGUGCAAAUCCCGUCGGGGUCG
rfam:Schizosaccharomyces japonicus yFS275 unplaced genomic scaffold supercont5.1, whole genome shotgun sequence.